rnacentral:tRNA from 1 species
UGGCAUAUCCGCUAAUUGGUAAGCGACUGGACUGUUAAUCCGGGAAAUGUAGGUUCGAAUCCUGCUAUGCCAGC